UACAGAGGUCUCAAGCGUUGUUCGGAUUCACUGGGCGUAAAGGGUGCGUAGGUGGCGCCGUAAGUCGGGUGUGAAAUUUCGGAGCUUAACUCCGAAACUGCAUUCGAUACUGCGGUGCUUGAGGACUGGAGAGGAGACUGGAAUUCAUGGUGUAGCAGUGAAAUGCGUAGAGAUCAUGAGGAAGACCAGUGGCGAAGGCGGGGCUCUGGACAGUUCCUGACACUGAGACACGAAGGCCAGGGGAGCAAACGGG
rnacentral:rRNA from 1 species